rnacentral:lncRNA from 1 species
UUCCAAUUGGUAGUAUUCAAGAUAACAAGAAAUCCAAUAUUGUUGUUUCUUGUGAAGUGUAGUUCACUUUAUUCCCUUCCUGUUAGAGCUGCUACUUGAGAUCCAGAGCCUAAACAACUUGUGACCAUAGACUGCUGAGAGUUAUCAUAUUUGAUCUUCAAGUGCAAUCCUUCAGUUGUUCUAUUGCAUCUCCGAGCCAUAUUAGCAUACAUUUCCAAUCAACAAUUGACUACUGGGUCAGUUAUUACUAUCUCUGAGAAAUUCUUUCUUAAUUUGUCCUAUAAACAAUUAAAUUCAUUAUUGGCCAUGAAGUUCACUGCAAAUUUGCUGCGCAGUUUUUAUUUCAGAGAUACAUGUGAAUAUUUUUUUGUUUAUUACUUUUGCCGAAUAUGAAUAGUUCAUUUGAGAUCCCUCUAACAAAACACGAUAAGAAAGGGGAAGAAUUAACCUACAGGGAGGCAUGAUCGAGGUCGUUGCUCAUGCAUGUUUGAUGGCAUUGUUUCAGGCGCCCACCGACUGUGUGUAUGCCUGUUACCUACGGCGUCGUUGUUUCUUCCCUCGGUCGAGCGUGGUCCACCAGCCACUACCUGUAGGCAAUAGCAUUAGGCCGGCAACUAUCGCGGAUCAAGGGUACAAAUCAACCAGACUAGGAGAGGGGGUGGUGGUCUACGUAGUGGCAGGGAGAGGAAGCGAUGGCUGACACCAAGGCUGGGAGAGGAGCCGGCAGAUGACUCUAUGGCGGGACAAGAGGAGCAGUGGCAGGGAGAGAAAGCGGGACUAUGCCAUGUGAGUUGCUGAAGUUGUGCCUUGUGAGGUGGGGAUAAGGGAUGUGUGUUGUGCAUGUGUAGUGAGAGGCGUGGAGUAGCUUUUCCUUUUUGAGGGAGGCUGUUUAUUUGUCUAGAACAGAUUAGCUUCUUUUCCUUUCUCCCUUGUGAACUGAGAGGAGUGGUUAUUAUGCCACGAGAGAAGUGUCAGAUAUUCUAGAAAUAGCAAAAAAUGUUCUAAAGAUAAUAGCCAAACAAGUGAUCUAGAGAAUGUCCUAUGUUGCUACAAAGCAGGAUGUGACUCACUCCACACAUGCAUACCAUGUAUAUAUUUUGGACUCACUCUACAUCACAUUUGGUAGAGAAUAAAGCUAUGAGAUAUCGAAAUUACUGAGAUUUUCAAGGGACUUCAAUAACGCACUUGAAAUAGCAUUUCACAACCUAUAUUCUCUGUCGGCUGAUAUUCCAAUGAGCACAGACAAGUAUAUUUAUCUAUUUUAUUUUCAUAAUCAAGAUACAUGCAAUUAUUUUAUCAUCAUUAUAUUUAUAUUCUAGAUAAUAAUAAUUUAUUCGUUACAAGAGUGUGUUGGGUUAUUUUGUACUGCCGUCGUUUCUAAAUAUAAG